GAUGAAACGCAGCGAAAUGCGAUACGUAAUGUGAAUUGCAAAUUCAGUGAAUCAUCGAGUCUUUGAACGCACAUUGCGCCCCCUGGUAUUCCGGGGGGCAUGCCUGUCCGAGCGUCAUUGCUGCCCUCAAGCACGGCUUGUGUGUUGGGCCCCGUCCUCCGAUCCCGGGGGACGGGCCCGAAAGGCAGCGGCGGCACCGCGUCCGGUCCUCGAGCGUAUGGGGCUUUGUCACCCGCUCUGUAGGCCCGGCCGGCGCUUGCCGAUCAACCCAAAUUUUUAUCCAGGUUGACCUCGGAUCAGGUAGGGAUACCCGCUGAACUUAAGCAUAUCAAUAAGCGGAGGA
rnacentral:misc_RNA from 1 species